AUUGAACGCUGGCGGAAUGCUUUACACAUGCAAGUCGAACGGUAGAGGGGGCAACCCCUCGAGAGUGGCGAACGGGUGAGUAAUAUAUCGGAACGUGCCCAGUCGUGGGGGAUAACGUAGCGAAAGUUACGCUAAUACCGCAUACGAUCUAAGGAUGAAAGCGGGGGAUCGCAAGACCUCGCGCGAUUGGAGCGGCCGAUAUCAGAUUAGGUAGGUGGUGGGGUAAAGGCUCACCAAGCCAACGAUCUGUAGCAGGUCUGAGAGGACGACCAGCCACACUGGAACUGAGACACGGUCCAGACUCCUACGGGAGGCAGCAGUGGGGAAUUUUGGACAAUGGACGCAAGUCUGAUUCAGCCAUUCCGCGUGCAGGAUGAAGGCCCUCGGGUUGUAAACUGCUUUUGUACGGAACGAAAAGGUCUCUCUUAAUACGGGGGACUCAUGACGGUACCGUAAGAAUAAGCACCGGCUAACUACGUGCCAGCCGCCGCAGUAA
rnacentral:rRNA from 1 species